CGAAACGUUUGGAAAUUUUUCAAUGUUUUUAGUUAAUUUUUAGAACGUAAAUUAAUAAAAUGAAUACCUCCAAACUAUGUUGUCUUCGUUUGAAAAGUGUUAAGAGACGAGAACAGUACAGUACUUUAUACGGUACACCUUAAUUCCCAUCAUGUACGAGAGAUAAAGGAAGAUUUGAAGGAGCUUGAUGUCGAGACAAAAGAAAAUGAAGGGUCUAUAGUGGAAAGAAAAUGUCUUAAAUGUGACAGUAGUAAAAUACCUUAUGCUACAAUUCAACUUAGGUCAGCUGAGGAAGGAUAGACUGUUUUCUCCUCGUACAAAAUGUAAAUGCAUGGGAAGAGAAAAUUCUUACUAAGACAACUGGUUUUUGUACAUAAUUUACUUCUUUGCAUCGUUCUGGAGUGUUAAAUAAAGCACUUAAAUAUAUCAACUAGAAAUAUGAAAAGCAAACAUUCCUGAGACAGCACCACGUAAUCAACCAGCCAAAGAGUCCUCAUUAGAGAAAAUCUUAAAUAAGACACAGAAAUGGUAAAUGCAGAAGUUUCCAACUACAUCGCACCAUGAUCCAGGUCCACUACGUGCAUCUUUUUUGAUACACC
rnacentral:lncRNA from 1 species